GACGAACGCUGGCGGCGUGCUUAACACAUGCAAGUCGAACGGAAAGGCCCUGCUUUUGUGGGGUGCUCGAGUGGCGAACGGGUGAGUAACACGUGAGUAACCUGCCCUUGACUUUGGGAUAACUUCAGGAAACUGGGGCUAAUACCGGAUAGGAGCUCCUGCUGCAUGGUGGGGGUUGGAAAGUUCCGGCGGUUGGGGAUGGACUCGCGGCUUAUCAGCUUGUUGGUGGGGUAGUGGCUUACCAAGGCUUUGACGGGUAGCCGGCCUGAGAGGGUGACCGGCCACAUUGGGACUGAGAGACGGCGCAGACGCCUACGGGAGGCAGCAGUGGGGAAUAUGGCACAAUGGGCGGAAGCCUGAUGCAGAAACGCCGCGGGCGGGAUGACGGCCUGCGGGUUGUAAACCGCUUUCGCCUGUGACGAAGCGUGAGUGACGGUAAUGGGUAAAGAAGCACCGGCUAACUACGUG
rnacentral:rRNA from 1 species